GGUGGAGCGAUUUGUCUGGUUUAUUCCGAUAACGAACGAGACUCUAGCCUACUAAAUAGACAGCACUUCUUUAGAGUGCUGCACUUCUUAGAGGGACAAGCGACGUCUAGUCGCACGAGAUUGAGCAAUAACAGGUCUGUGAUGCCCUUAGAUGUUCGGGGCUGCACGCGCGCUACACUGAAGGCAUCAUCAUGCAUAUCAACCUACCCCGGAAGGGGCGGGUAACCCGAUGAAACGCCUUCGUGAUUGGGAUAGGGAAUUGCAAUUAUUUCCCUUGAACGAGGAAUUCCCAGUAAGUGCGGGUCAUCAGCUCGCGCUGAAUACGUCCCUGCCCUUUGUAC
rnacentral:rRNA from 1 species